UACGAAGGGGGCUAGCGUUGCUCGGAAUCACUGGGCGUAAAGGGUGCGUAGGCGGGUCUUUAAGUCAGGGGUGAAAUCCUGGAGCUCAACUCCAGAACUGCCUUUGAUACUGAAGAUCUUGAGUUCGGGAGAGGUGAGUGGAACUGCGAGUGUAGAGGUGAAAAUUCGUAGAUAUUCGCAAGAACACCAGUGGCGAAGGCGGCUCACUGGCCCGAUACUGACGCUGAGGUGCGAAAGCGUGGGGAGCAAACAGG
rnacentral:rRNA from 1 species